GAUGAACGCUGGCGGCGUGCCUAAUACAUGCCAGUCGAGCGAACAGACGAGGAGCUUGCUCCUCUGACGUUAGCGGCGGACGGGUGAGUAACACGUGGAUAACCUACCUAUAAGACUGGGGUAACUUCGGGAAACCGGAGCUAAUACCGGAUAAUAUAUUGAACCGCAUGGUUCAAUAGUGAAAGACGGUUUUGCUGUCACUUAUAGAUGGAUCCGCGCCGCAUUAGCUAGUUGGUAAGGUAACGGCUUACCAAGGCAACGAUGCGUAGCCGACCUGAGCGGGUGAUCGGCCACACUGGAACUGAGACACGGUCCAGACUCCUACGGGAGGCAGCAGUAGGGAAUCUUCCGCAAUGGGCGAAAGCCUGACGGAGCAACGCCGCGUGAGUGAUGAAGGUCUUCGGAUCGUAAAACUCUGUUAUUAGGGAAGAACAAAUGUGUAAGUAACUAUGCACGUCUUGACGGUACCUAAUCAGAAAGCCACGGCUAACUACGUG
rnacentral:rRNA from 1 species